GUAGGGAAUCUUCCGCAAUGGGCGCAAGCCUGACGGAGCAACGCCGCGUGAGUGAUGAAGGCCUUCGGGUUGUAAAACUCUGUCUUCUGUGAAGAACAUCCUUGUGCAGGGAAAGCUCAAGGUCUGACGGUAACAGAGGAGGAAGCCCCGGCUAACUACGUGCCAGCAGCCGCGGUAAUACGUAGGGGGCAAGCGUUGUCCGGAUUCACUGGGCGUAAAGCGCGCGCAGGCGGUUCUUCACGUCCGGGGUGAAAACCCAGAGCUCAACUCUGGGACUGCCUUGGAUACGGGGGAACUUGAGGAUCGGAGAGGCAAGGGGAAUUCCACGUGUAGCGGUGAAAUGCGUAGAGAUGUGGAGGAACACCUGUGGCGAAGGCGCCUUGCUGGCCGGUUUCUGACGCUGAGGCGCGAAAGCGUGGGGAGCAAACAGGAUUAGAAACCCCAGUAGUCC
rnacentral:rRNA from 1 species